rnacentral:snRNA from 1 species
UGAUGUCAGCACUAUGUCAAUGUCUUUAACAGAGUGAAGACACUUUCUUCCUUUCCUUUUUCUCUGGUGUGUCCUAGAUAGCAUGUGCUCUGUGUGAGCCUCAGUCGCUCAGUGGUCUCUGACUCUUUGUGACCCCGUGAACUGCAGCCCGCCAGGCUCCUCCAUCGAUG